rnacentral:rRNA from 1 species
GACGAACGCUGGCGGCGUGCCUAAUACAUGCAAGUAGAACGCUGAAGGAGGAGCUUGCUUCUCUGGAUGAGUUGCGAACGGGUGAGUAACGCGUAGGUAACCUGCCUGGUAGCGGGGGAUAACUAUUGGAAACGAUAGCUAAUACCGCAUAAGAGUAGAUGUCGCAUGACAUUUGCUUAAAAGGUGCACUUGCAUCACUACCAGAUGGACCUGCGUUGUAUUAGCUAGUUGGUGAGGUAACGGCUCACCAAGGCAACGAUACAUAGCCGACCUGAGAGGGUGAACGGCCCAACUUGGAAUGAGACACGGGCCAGACUCCUACCGGAGGGAGCAGUAGGGAAUCUUCGGAAAUGGGCGGAAGGCUGACCGAGCAACGCCGGGGGAGUGGAGAAGGGUUUCGGAUCGUAAAGCUCUGUUGUAAGGGAAGAACGAGUGUGAGAGUGGAAAGUUCACGCUGUGACGGUAUCUUACCAGAAAGGGACGGCUAACUACGUG